CAUAUAAUUAGAAAGUUUCAUCCAGUUUCCUGUUGUUUAGCAGGGGCUGGUUGUCUUGUAUUUUUCUGACUAAUGGUUUCCUGCGUCAUGUGCAUACAGGGGCAGAAACUAUGGCAUUGUUUGUGGCAGUGCUGCUGCUUUUAUUUGGGUCUUUAAAGCCAAGACACAUUUGUGUAUGAGUGUGUUAUGCUGUACAGUUUGUGGUGUGUUUGAAGCUUGGGCCAUUACUGAAGAGAUAUUCUUCCCAGUUCAUUUACUGCAUUAGUCAUGAGCCAGAGACCCAACCACACACCAUACAAACACACACACACACACACACACACACACACACGCGCACACACACACACACACACUUCUGUGACGUAAUCCAUUUCUGUCAGCUGGUCUUUCUGUCUGGAUGUCACGCUGCAUCUCUGCUGUCACAUCUUAAGGUUCCCCAUCACUUAUUUAAAUACACAAGAACUGUCUUGCCUAGUGUGAGUGUGUGUGUGUGUGUGUGUGUUUGUGUGUGUUUGUGUGUGUGUGAUGUUGGUUGGUAGGUUGGUUUGUAUCAGAUUUGAUGGAGCCAGGGGCUGAUGGGAGGAUGGACGAAUGACGAGAUGGAUGAGCCCUGGCAAUUUGUCCAUCACUGGAGCAUAACCCACUUUUUUUCAUUAUUUAUCUCUCCAUGUCUGUUUUGCUUUAAUGCUUCUUUUCACUGUUAGGUGUGUGUGUGUGUGUGUGUGUGUAUGUUUGGUUUGCUCUGUCCAUGUGUGCUAUAGUAUGUGUGGAGAUGGGUAACCAUGACAACAGCAGCCUGAAGUAGGAGCACUUGUGGUAGGCACAGCACAGUGCCCUUGCUCUCUUUCUGUCUCUUUCUCUCAGGUGAUGGAGAUGCAUAUACCAUAUCCUUCUCUCUCCCUCUAAUCCACAUUAUAGCCAUACAGCUUAAAAAUCAUGUGCAGUGCUACACAUAAACUGUCUUUCAGUGUCUCUGUUUCCUAUAUUCUGGAUUCUAUCUGUGUGCCGGCAGCAUGACAUGAUCAGUUCAUGUAGAAGUGGUUCACUCUCAAAAUCAAGUUCUCAUUUAGUGUUUAUUGAUUAUGUUACAAUGCAGAACAAAUGGAUAACGUGUUUUCCUGAUAAGUAGUGUCUGGCACUUAUUGUAAAAACAAAUCAUAUAGUGUAGUAGAGCGAGAGGGCACAUUGAGCUGAUCUGCAGAACUGUGCAUGGAUGCACCUGUUUUUAAUUAUUGUGGCCAAAAAUUUCACAAGAAAUUGUCAUCUCACAAUAUGUGUCAGAAUUAAUUACUACCCUUAAAGUGAGAAAUACAGUAAAAUUACCUCAUGACACCUGGCGUUCUCCAGUUUGUUUCUCCGUAACCAACCCUGCCUGUUCCUGAUUCUUCUGCCUUGCCGUGUUCCUGGAAACCAGACCUGCCUCCACCCCCACCACCCAGAGACUUUCCUGAUAUUAGGGUGGGGACUCCAGAAUAUACUGGGGACCCUGAGACAUGUGGGCCCUUUUUGACAAACUGUUCGUUGCUGUUUCACCUGCUGCCCCACUCGUUUUUAUCAGAGGAAGCUAAGGUCGCCUUCGCCAUCAACCACCUGACAGGAAGGGCUCAACUCUGGGGAACCGCUGAGUGGGAAAGAUGCUCUCCAGCCUGCUCAUCCUUCCAGGCAUUUUCUGACAAGCUCCGCAAGGUGUUCGGUAUGGGGGCCUUUGGCGCAGAUGCAGCACGAGGUCUGAUGAGUAUGCAGCAGGGAGACUAGACAGUGGCAGACUUUUCCAUUGACUUUCGCACCAGAGCUUGCAGAGUGACUGGAAUCCUCCUGCUCUCCAUGGUCUGGCUGAGUACAUUAAAGAUGUGCUCGUAUCAUACGAUCUUCAGACUACGCUGGACGGGGUGAGCUAGCCACCAGAGUGGACCUCCGUAUACAGGCUCGGAAAAGAGGAAGCAGAACCAUGUCAGCCACCAACCUACCGUUCGACCAUGUGGGCCCAACGUCUAUGCUGAGCCGCAGUCAGGAGGCUCUGAGCCCAUGCAGCUUGGCCGCACUAGUCUAACUCCAGAAGAGAAGCAACCACAGGCUAAUCUUUGCCUAUACUGCAGUCAGGCCGGCCCCUACGCCUCUCACUGUCCAGCAAAAGACAGGGCUUGCCAGUAGGAGGGAGAUUACUGCCACCUUCGUUGAAUCCGGGGCCGACGCCAGCAUCAUCGAUGAGGAACUCAUCGCCAGUUGGGAUUGGGACGAAUCCAGCUCCCCCACCGGGUCCCAGCAAACGCCCUGGAUGGCCAUCUCCUGGGGACGGUCACGCAUCAGAUCACGCCUGCCCACAUGCUUGUCUGGGAAUCACCAUGAGACAAUCCAGUUCCACAUCCUGUCAUCACCAAACAUUCCCUUAAUCCUGGGGUAUCCCUGGCUGCGACGCCAUAACCCCCACAUAGACUGUAAUACUGGUGCCAUACUCGGUUGGAGCCAUUCUUGACACCAGAUUUGUCUCAAACAAGCCUCGGCUCAAUUCAAUCCUCCCAUGCCUAGACCUGUCCAAUAAGUAUCCGGAGUCUCCUGAAUACCACGAUUUCAAGGAGGUCUUCAACAAAGCCAAGGCUACCUCCUUGCCCCCUCAUCGACCUUACGAUUGUGCCAUCGAUCUGCACCCUGGUACAUCCCCUACCAGAGGGUUCUCUGUAUUACCAGGCUGCCCAUGAGAGAGGGGCUAUGGACACAUACACAUAUGAUUCUUUGGUCGCCGGCAUUAUUCAAACUGACAAAAGAUUGAACUCACGUCAAGCCGGACGCGUAACACAGCAGUUCCAGGGAGAGGAAAAUUCUGGCACUGGGGCCACCUCCAUCCUCCCAGUUCCCUGUUUUUUUCCUCGCCCACUUGGGACAUUGAGGAGAGGGUGAGGGUUAGGGUUAAAUUUCAUCAGUUGCUCAGUUUACGUGUCCUUUAGCCUCUUUCAGAAACUGACUAUGAACUGACCCAGUUUGGAAACACUCUGCAGCUGCUUUCAGUGUCAAGUGUGUUUGUGUGCGUGCGUGUGAGUGUGUGUCAGGAAGAGAGGGAGAGAGUUGCAGGCAGAGCAGACCAAUAGCAGUCGCCCACUUCUCGGUUGAACACAACGACAGGGCACUAGAGACUGUGACAGGUGUAAAAAUCGCAGAUCUCCUCUGUGUCUGAUGUUUCCAGCGCGCCCUGUGGUCAUGGUAAGCUCCGGAUGCAUCCUGAAUUAAUGUGGACUUUAAUUCAUUGUUUAUUAUUUGUCCCUAGUAUGACAGCGGCUUUCCUCUGCAGAUUUUGUAGAAGAGAUGCUUGCAUCUUUGUAUUUUCUGCCUGAGGCUUAUGUGAUUCAACUGUUGAUAGUUAUUUUCUUGGUUGUGUAUAGAUGUGGAACAUGUUGCUAGUUUAUGAAUCCAACAAUAUGCACAUCGCUACCUGAUAGGUAUGUCAAGGUUAAUAUUAUUCAGAUUAUAAAAGAAAUCUGUCACUAUACAUACACAUAUUGUGUAUGUAAAAAACGAUUGUCAUUAGACAUAAGCAAAGCAAAUUCGCUAAAGUGUAGCUUUAUAAUUUGGAUUCUCUGCUAUUUGUGACAGUUGUCAAGUCAGUGCUACCAGGAGUGCGCUUAAAGAAAUUAUCACCAAAUCAUUAAUGUAAUAAAGCUGAUUGUGCAGUAGGGAUGAACGAUUUGGGGAAAAUAUCGGAUUGCGAUUUUUUGGGGAUUGUAAUUGGGCGCGCACAAAUGCCUGUCCACACACACACACACACACAAACACACACUCUGAAAGAUAGCGAGAUGUGUUGAAGAAAAGAAGGGGAGAUAGCAGUGAAUGAACACACAGUGACGGUGUAGACUUUAGCUCUCUCCGUUAGCAGUCUGUCUCUAACGAGGGAAUAGUUGUGGUGUAGCUGCCUGUGGAGCUGUGUCAAGCACUGAUACAGGUUGGUGGUAUUGCCUGCAGAUGUAGCGGCUGAAUGCUUUGCACAAUACCUUCUUUUGUUGCACAUCUGUUGGCUCAAACCCAAAACACUCCUGUAUCACCGAAAUGCGGCUUUUCUCCGGGACUAAAUUGUCAAACGCUGUUUCUGGCUACGCGGAGGCCACUCCACUAAUGCAGUGUUAUUCUUUGGUUUCAUAUGUGUUUUUGGUGGGCGGAUACGCAUGCGCCCUUAUACCCAUACAGCAUAUGUACAUAAGGCGGGGAAGCUCGUCUAAACACCCAUGACAACAAUUUUCACAACGCAACUAAAUAAGCAUGUCCCUAAAAACACGACAACUGUACAAAAACACAAAAGCUGGCACUGGCGAUCAUGUUAUUUUAUGCUAACAACACAACCUAUUCAAGAUAUGAAGACAGAGACUCAACAGAUUUCAACAGUAAAUAUCUUAUCUUUCUAUGACCACACCUCACUGAACCAGCAGCCCAAAAAAAGCAAAUAAAGUACACUUCAAACAUCGACAUACAUAGAUGUCUUGUAUGUCUUACCUUAGAUGUUUUAUGCCAAUAAAUUCUGUUUUAGGUGAUAACUCCUCUCCAUUGA